CCAAACUUGGUCAUUUAGAGGAAGUAAAAGUCGUAACAAGGUUUCCGUAGGUGAACCUGCGGAAGGAUCAUUAACGAAUUGGUUGUGGGGGGUUGGGAGAGGGCCUAGGCUCUCUUCCGGCAAUGCCCCAAACAUUGACUCGGGCUGGAUGGUGGAUGAUUGGGGGUUGGUGGUGUGCUUGCGUGUGCAUAUUGUGUACGCAGUGGCGCACGCAUCCGCCGAACGGACCCCCAUCGGAUGCCGACAGCCGAGACAUUCACGCUUGUUGUGUGUGACUGAGUAAGUGGUGGUUUAUUAAAGAGACAACUUUUAACAAUGGAUCUCUUGGCUCUUGCAUCGAUGAAGAACGCAGC
rnacentral:misc_RNA from 1 species